rnacentral:rRNA from 1 species
AGGACGAACGCUGGCGGCGUGCUAACACAUGCAAGUCGAGCGAGAAAGGUCCUCGGACUGAGUACAGCGGCGAACGGGUGAGUAACACGUGGGUAACCUGCCCCGGUGACCGGGAUAACGUCUCGAAAGGGACGCUAAUACCGGAUAACGUGCGGUCCGCCAAGUGGGCCGCACCAAAAGGUAGCUUCGGCCUCCGCUCCGGGAUGGGCCCGCGCAGCAUUAGCUUGUUGGUGGGGUAAUGGCCUACCAAGGCUGCGAUGCUUAGCUGGUCUGAGAGGACGAUCAGCCACACUGGGACUGAGAUACGGCCCAGACUCCUACGGGAGGCAGCAGUGGGGAAUCUUGCGCAAUGGGCGAAAGCCUGACGCAGCAACGCCGCCGUGAGCGAAGAAGGCCUUCGGGUUGUAAAGCUCUGUCAGGAGGGACGAAGCCACUCGGGUUAAUAGCCCAGAGGGUGACGGUACCUCCAAAGGAAGGUCCGGCUAACUACGUGCCAGCCGCCGC